UUUUAAAAAAAUAAAAAGAAAAGACAAGAAGGAUAAAAUUUUAUUUAAAUGUAUGUUUAAAAAAGUUUUUUUUAUAAAAAAACUGUAAGGGAAAAAUGAAAAUUUUAAAAAUUUAAAAAUGAAAAAGUUCAUUAGGGUACCUUUUGCAUUAGGGUUUUUAGAAGAAAUUAAAGCAUUUUAAUUUCCCGAAAUUAAAAUGAGCUAUUAAAAUAUUUUAAUUAUGUGGAAAUAUAAUAAAAAAUAUAUUAAUAGAAAUGAAAUUUUAUUCAUAUUUAAUGAUAUCUGGUUAUAAUUUUUUGAUUUUAGAUCAUAAUUAUAUUUGAAAAGUUUUUAAAUAAUUGUAUAAUUUUAUCUACGGGGGAUAAGCUUGGUAGAUUUCUUUAUAAUUUUAUAAUAUUUAAUUAAGGAUUAAAAUUUUCUAAGUCUUUUUAAAAAGAAUUAAAAAAUAAUUAAAAAAAUUUAAUUAAGAUUUUUUUAUGAUUAAAUUAAUUAUUGUUUAAUAAAAUUAUUAAAAAAUUAGUAAAUUGAAAAAAAUAAUAAGAAAUUUAAAAAAAAUUUAAAAAUGGAAAUUUAAUUAUAGCAAUUCGGCAAAUUGAUUUAAUUGACUGUUUACCAAAAACAUUUCAUUUUGUUGUGUAAUAAAAUGUAUAAUCUGCUCAAUGAUUUUUUAAAUUGCUGUGGUAUUUUGACUAUACGAAGGUAUUGAAAUAAGAUUUUAAAUGAGUGCUAAGAGAAUGAUUGAACAAUUAUAGGCUUUCUUUAGUUAAAUAAUUAAAUUUAAUUUUUUUUAGUGCAAAAGCAAAAAUUAAAUUUAGGGACAAGAAGACCCUAUGAAUUUUAAUUUAAUUUAUAAUUUGAAAUUUUAAAUUAAAUUUGAUUGGGGCGAUGGAAAAAGAAUGAGUAUCUUUUUUAGUUUUAAAAAUUGGUUCCGUUUUUAACGAUUAAAUGAGAAAAAUACUCUAGGGAUAACAGCGUAAUAAUUUUGGAUAGUUCUUAUAGAUAAAAUAGUUUGCGACCUCGAUGUUGGAUUAGGAUUCUUUCUUGGCGAAGAAGUUAAGAAAAAGAAGUUUGUUCAACUUUUAAAUUCCUACAUGAUCUGAGUUCAGACCGGCGUGAGCCAGGUUGGUUUCUAUCUUAAUUUAAAAGAUAUUUUUAUAGUACGAAAGGAAUUAAAAAUUAAAAUAAUUUUUUUUAAUUUUAAAAAGUAUUAACUAAUUUGGCAGAAAAAA
rnacentral:rRNA from 1 species